UGGGGAAUAUUGCACAAUGGGCGAAAGCCUGAUGCAGCAACGCCGCGUGAGGGAAGACGGUUUUCGGAUUGUAAACCUCUGUUUUCGGUGACGAAGAAUGACGGUAACCGAGUAGGAAGCCACGGCUAACUACGUGCCAGCAGCCGCGGUAAUACGUAGGUGGCAAGCGUUAUCCGGAAUUACUGGGUGUAAAGGGAGCGCAGGCGGGAUAGCGAGUCAGCGGUGAAAAUUAUGGGCUCAACCCAUAAACUGCCGUUGAAACUGUUGAUCUUGAGUGCUGGAGGGGCAAUCGGAAUUCCUAGUGUAGCGGUGAAAUGCGUAGAUAUUAGGAGGAACACCAGUGGCGAAGGCGGAUUGCUGGACAGUAACUGACGGUGAGGCGCGAAAGUGUGGGGAGCAAACAGGAUUAGAUACCCUGGUAGU
rnacentral:rRNA from 1 species